rnacentral:rRNA from 1 species
AUGACAACCAGUUGCGAGCUGUCCCCCAUGGCCACUAUAAGCGUUGACGGGCAGAUCUGUGCGGUGGAUGGGGCAGCUGCGACUGAGCGAGAUGAUGAACCGCAGGCGUCUGAGCAAUCCAUUGGCCAAGUUGAUCCGAAAACACCAGGCUGGACUCGCAGGGUUAGAAUUGGAGCUGCUGCUCCUGGCAGGGCUCCUUGCCCUGGGCGAACCAGUGCCCUUGAGAAAGCAAUUCGGGGGUUUGGUGACAAGCCUGUAAGCAUUAUGGUUGUGCCAGAAUUGGGCACAAGCUUUGAUACACUUGGGGAGGCCUAUGACUUCUGCAAUCUCUACUCGUGGGAGAAGGGGUUUGGAAUAAGAUAUGGGAAGAGUAGGUUGAAUGUGGAGAGAACAAAGUGCAUGCAGGAAAUUGUUUGCGGGUGUGCGGGUAAACCGGGUGUGGAAAACACAAGAUCAUGCCGUUGUGAAUGCCCGGCAUUAAUAAGACUACUUCGCACAAAGGGCAAUGGUUGGUACAUAGCUGAGUACCGUGAGCAGCACAACCAUUCGCUAUCUCCUACAUAUGGGCAGACAAUACACUGGCCUUCACACAAGCACAUUGAUGCUUACAAUAGAGACUUGGUCGAGCAGUUGCGACAAAACAAUGUUAACCUAGCCAAAGUUAUCUACUAA